GACGAACGCUGGCGGCGUGCCUAAUACAUGCAAGUCGAGCGGACUUUCAAGAAGCUUGCUUUUUGAAAGUUAGCGGCGGACGGGUGAGUAACACGUGGGCAACCUGCCUGUAAGACGGGGAUAACUCCGGGAAACCGGGGCUAAUACCGGAUAAUAUCUUUCUUCGCAUGAAGGAAGGUUGAAAGGCGGCGCAAGCUGCCGCUUGCAGAUGGGCCCGCGGCGCAUUAGCUAGUUGGUGAGGUAACGGCUCACCAAGGCGACGAUGCGUAGCCGACCUGAGAGGGUGAUCGGCCACAUUGGGACUGAGACACGGCCCAAACUCCUACGGGAGGCAGCAGUGGGGAAUCUUCCGCAAUGGACGAAAGUCUGACGGAGCAACGCCGCGUGAGUGAUGAAGGUCUUCGGAUUGUAAAGCUCUGUUAAUCGGGGCGAAAGAGUUCUGCGUGAAUAAUGCAGAAAAGUGACGGUACCGGAAUAGAAAGCCACGGCUAACUACGUGCCAGCAGCCGCCGUAA
rnacentral:rRNA from 1 species